AUUUGUUGUGUUCUUUGCAUCUCAAAAUCAUGAUACAUGCCUUAAAAUUAAUAUCAAGUAAAUAAUUUGUGAUUUAUCUAUUUGUGUGCAGUGUAAUUUGGAUCAUUUUAAGUAAAGGUGAACUGGUAAGUACUUUAUUUCAACAACUUUUAAAUGUAGACUAGUAGAUAUUUCCUGUAAGAGGCAUCCUAACCUAAACAUUUACUCAACUACCAGACAAUUUAGAAGUAAAUAAAAACCUAAAAUAAUAGCCGUAUCCUAUCAAUUCUCACUUGAAUUGUGAAAACUGUUGAAAUAAACCUGAUGUUUAAUUAAUGUCAAUAUUUUUCAUAUUUUUACAUAGGUAAAUGGAAACGUUGGGCCAAUAUUGGCUAAAUAUAGAAUCGAGUUAGCAAAGUUCUGGAGCAUUUUAAAAUCGCGCGGUUCCAAGUAUGGUGAACCUAUUGGUUUCCUAGAUAUUUCACGUUUUUACAUUUGAUCAUUUAAUAUUUAGACCAUAUUAGAUGUAAAUAAUUAUUUAUAUAAUUUGAAACGUCCUAACCUAAACAUAUUUAAUACAUUAUCACUGAACUACAAAAAAGAGAUUUUACUCCAAGCAAAAGGAAAUCUUUAUUUAAAGAAAAUUUAAGUAUCAAAAAACAUAAAGUACGUUGUAUGGCUGAAUCACCAUCGGUUUUGAACAAUGGUCAAAGGGAAUUAGACGCAAGUCCCUUUGAGCCGUCAGUAGCUUUAACAGGUAACAUAUAUUGAUGAAGAUCACUUAUAUUUUGUAGAAAUACCUACUUGAACCAAGAUAACUUGGGCGUUUGAUGUAUAUUUUUAGCUUCUGAGAGAUUGAUCUUAAAAGAAAUAAAAAAGUUGAAUUGGGAAAUACAGGAUAUGAAAAAAACAGUAAACAAGAUUCAGGACCUGUUGCUCACAAUUAGCAUGAUUAAUAUUAAGUUCUAGUGAAGAACCUUUUCAACUACCAAUUGAGAACCAGGCUUUACUAGAAUCUAUAGAGCAGCAUUUAGAAGAUGAAAAAAAUAUUGAACUUUUGGCUCAACGAUUAUACCUUUGUGGAGGGGACAAUACCCACAAAUCUGUUUUUUUAUUAAUGAAAAAACUGUUUGCCAGAGAUGUAGCAAUGCUCUAUUCUGGAUCAGGAAAGAAGGGAAAAUUAUCAUUUCAGAAGUUGUCAUAAGCUGUUCGUUUUCCAGGCGCCACGGAUGCAGGUAUUAACAAAUCCAUAUCUUUGUAUUUGACAGGAGCAGCAGACAGGGAAGGAAGACAUAAAAACAGAAAUGCCCAAUAUAUACAGUUAUUUUGAAACAGAAAAAUAUUUUUCGUUUUUUUAUUUAUUAUCAGGAUAACAGCUUAUUUUUCAU